GACGAACGCUGGCGGCGUGCUUAACACAUGCAAGUCGAACGGAAAGGCCCUGCUUUUGUGGGGUGCUCGAGUGGCGAACGGGUGAGUAACACGUGAGUAACCUGCCCUUGACUUUGGGAUAACUUCAGGAAACUGGGGCUAAUACCGGAUAGGAGCUCCUGCUGCAUGGUGGGGGUUGGAAAGUUUCGGCGGUUGGGGAUGGACUCGCGGCUUAUCAGCUUGUUGGUGGGGUAGUGGCUUACCAAGGCUUUGAAGGGUAGCCGGCCUGAGAGGGUGACCGGGCACAUUAGGACUGAGAUACGGAGCAGAAUCGAACGGGAGGCAGCAGUGGAGAAUAUUGCACAAUGGGCGGAAGCCUGAUACAGCGACGCCGCGUGCGGGAUGACGGCCUUCGGGUUGUAAACCGAUUUCGCCUGUGACGAAGCGUGAGUGACGGUAAUGGGUAAAGAAGCACCGGCUAACUACGUG
rnacentral:rRNA from 1 species